rnacentral:rRNA from 1 species
AUUGAACGCUGGCGGCAUGCCUUACACAUGCAAGUCGAACGGCAGCACGGGUGCUUGCACCUGGUGGCGAGUGGCGAACGGGUGAGUAAUACAUCGGAACAUGUCCUGUAGUGGGGGAUAGCCCGGCGAAAGCCGGAUUAAUACCGCAUACGAUCUACGGAUGAAAGCGGGGGACCUUCGGGCCUCGCGCUAUAGGGUUGGCCGAUGGCUGAUUAGCUAGUUGGUGGGGUAAAGGCCUACCAAGGCGACGAUCAGUAGCUGGUCUGAGAGGACGACCAGCCACACUGGGACUGAGACACGGCCCAGACUCCUACGGGAGGCAGCGGUGGGGAAUUUUGGACAAUGGGCGAAAGCCUGAUCCGGCAAUGCCGCGUGUGUGAAGAAGGCCUUCGGGUUGUAAAGCACUUUUGUCCGGAAAGAAAUCCUUGGCUCUAAUACAGUCGGGGGAUGACGGCACCGGAAGAAUAAGCACCGGCUAACUACGUG